rnacentral:rRNA from 1 species
UCCUACGGGAGGCAGCAGUGGGGAAUAUUGCACAAUGGGGGAAACCCUGAUGCAGCCAUGCCGCGUGUGUGAAGAAGGCCUUCGGGUUGUAAAGCACUUUCAGUAGGGAGGAAAGGUUGCAGUUUAAUAAACUGUAGCUGUGACGUUACCUACAGAAGAAGGACCGGCUAACUCCGUGCCAGCAGCCGCGGUA